AUCAUGGAGAGUUUGAUCCUGGCUCAGGAUGAACGCUGGCGGCGUGCCUAACACAUGCAAGUCGAACGUGAAUCUUCGGAUUCUAGUGGCGGACGGGUGAGUAACGCUUAAGAAUCUAACUUCAGGACGGGGACAACAUUUGGAAACGACUGCUAAUACCCGAUGUGCCGCAAGGUGAAACCUAAUUGGCCUGGAGAAGAGCUUGCGUCUGAUUAGCUAGUUGGUGGGGUAAAGGCCUACCAAGGCGACGAUCAGUAGCUGGUCUGAGAGGAUGAGCAGCCACACUGGGACUGAGACACGGCCCAGACUCCUACGGGAGGCAGCAGUGGGGAAUU
rnacentral:rRNA from 1 species